rnacentral:lncRNA from 10 species
GCUGGCGGGCGCAGAGUCCUGGUGCGGGAGGUGCCCGCUCAGAAGGCCCGGACUCUAGCUGAGGCUCUUCUCCGACACCUUCCUGCCCCUUUUGGACCCAGUGCCAGGCCAUGCACACAGUGAAGCUGGCUGGAAGCCGCUCCUUCACCCCCUACCCUACUGUCCCGCCCAGGGCCCCGCAGCCUCGCGGUCAGCUGUGUGGGCCAUUGAUUGUUCUGCCCAGCUCAGAAAGAGUUGUGGGCGUGGGCCUCCUGCCCGCCUGUCUCCUGUGCUCCCCCAGGGAGCCCUUACAUAGCCGAAAGUUGCAGAGAUGAAGGGUGAAAGCUGGAAUGAUUGGGUUUUAAUGGGUCAGGUCUGGGACCUGGCUUUUCUCCUGGAGCAGAGGGAAUACUUGUCAUGGUAAUGGGGUAGCCCAGAGGGUGUGGACACGGCUGGGAAAAGUGAGGCUUCAGUUUGGGGGUCAGGUAGGUGAGUGCCUGUCACUGAGGUCAAAGGAGCUGUGGGCUGGGCCUGGCGGUGGAGGCGGGUGCCUGUAGUUUCAGCAAGUCAGGAGGCGGAAGUGGGAGGAUCACCUGAGCCCAGGAAUUCGAGGUUAACGUGCGCUGUCAUCACACCGAAGCAUUCCAGCCUGGACAGCGGAGCAAGACCCUGUCUCUAAAGAAUUAAUUAUUAAUUUAAAAACAGGCUGUGGGCAGGAGUGUACUAUUGCCAGUUAGCGUUCAGCACAGUCCCCAGCUUGUCACUGUUACCUGUCUGCUUCCCCCACACACCCAUGGCUAUGCUGGGCUGGCUCACAGGCAGCAGUGCCCCCCUAUUUAUCC